GGGGGCGUAAAGGUUUCGACGGGGAUGUGGAACCGAAAGCAGCGAGUAGUGGUCGGGAGCCACUUAAAAAGUCCGAAUUUUAAAAAUAAACGCUAAGAAAAAUUUAGCUUACGCUGCCUAAUUACGGCAGCCGUCUUACCUGUGAGUACCACGGCAUAGGUUAAGGCGUCACACAGUGGUGAACGUGAGCAGUCAAAGCUUUGAGGCUGCCAUGAAUAAUGAAGCUACCGAAUCGUUCAGCCUGUCUGCGGGCGGUUUGACAAGGGAACAAUAAUUCACAGACUGCACUCGGAGAAGCUUGCGGGAAAAUGUUUUCGGACAGGGGUUCAAUUCCCCUCGCCUCCACCA
rnacentral:tmRNA from 1 species